rnacentral:rRNA from 1 species
AACGAACGCUGGCGGCAUGCCUAACACAUGCAAGUCGAACGAUGCCUUCGGGCAUAGUGGCGCACGGGUGCGUAACGCGUGGGAAUCUGCCUUUCGGUUCGGAAUAACUCAGGGAAACUUGAGCUAAUACCGGAUAACGUCGCAAGACCAAAGAUUUAUCACCGAAAGAUGAGCCCGCGUAGGAUUAGCUAGUUGGUGAGGUAAAGGCUCACCAAGGCGACGAUCCUUAGCUGGUCUGAGAGGAUGAUCAGCCACACUGGGACUGAGACACGGCCCAGACUCCUACGGGAGGCAGCAGUGGGGAAUAUUGGACAAUGGGCGAAAGCCUGAUCCAGCAAUGCCGCGUAAGUGAUGAAGGCCUUAGGGUUGUAAAGCUCUUUUACCCGGGAAGAUAAUGACGGUACCGGGAGAAUAAGCCCCGGCUAACUCCGUG